rnacentral:lncRNA from 1 species
ACUUUGAGAACCUAUGAUCAAAUUUGGACAAUUAUACAGGAAUACCUCACUUAGUACUGUCAAUUGGUUACUCCUGCUCUAAGGAAUGAGAAAGACAAGAGGGAACAAACACAAAGAAGUGGAGUAUAUAGGAUACCCAUAAUAGACAAUGCUACAAAUGAAGUAUCAGCGUACAUAGGGGUGACCUCAAGAUCAAUAGAAAGGUGUAUGGAAGAACAUAGCAAGGAUAUAUCUUGUGCAAGACUUAGCACGGCCCUAGCCUAUGAGGCUUAUAGUAAAGAUGUUACUAUUGGGUGGAAAGGAGUUAAACGGAUAAAGCCUGUACUGAGACAUGCACAGCUAUCGGUAGUGGAGUCUCUAGAAAUUCUACGUAGAACAAGAAAAGAAAAAUUGGUGAACGAUAAGUUAGCAUGGGAGCAUUCUGUAGCUUGGAAAUAUGCACUAGAAAAUGAAAGAUCGAUUGAAUCUAGGUAGAAGAAGGAAGGCAACAGCGGUAAAGUAGAAUUAUAUGUGAAAAGUUAAAGAACACCGAGGAAAAGCUAAAACCUCUAGUCCGAUUAAAGAGCUAGCUAGAAAGAUACAAAACGAAAGAAGUUGGAGGAUGUACGAGUAGCUUCAAAUUUAUUUCUUAAGGCUAUCUAUUUUAGUAUUUAUUGCUGUUUUAAUGUAUUUUAUUCUUAUAUAUUAUGCUUGUAACAUUAAUACUAUAUGUUCCGUUUCGGGAGCUACGAAUGACGUCAUUAUUCGGCGUACAAUCUAAACAUUGUUGUUACCAUGGUUAUAAUUUGAAAAAGAUUGUUCUGUUCGAUUUCUGUCAAAAAUUAGUACUGUAGAACCUGAAGAGGAUGUUAUAAUACAUCGAAAACGUUAGACAAAUAAUAAAAAAUUGUGUGACUGAUAAUACCAAACUGCAGAAAGUGCUGUGUUUCUUAC